rnacentral:ncRNA from 2 species
AUGUUAUCAAGAAAGGCAGAGGGAUUAGACCCAAUGAAGCCUUAGCAACCCUUUAUCUGUAAAGAAGGUGCUAAAUUCUACCCUAACGGAUAGAUAACAA